rnacentral:rRNA from 1 species
GACGUAGGGCGCGAGCGUUGUCCGGAUUUAUUGGGCGUAAAGAGCUCGUAGGCGGCUCGUUGCGUCGGCUGUGAAAACCCGCAGCUCAACUGUGGGCUUGCAGCUGAUACGGGCGGGCUGGAGUUCGGUAGGGGCAUGUGGAACUUCCGGUGGAGCGGUGAAAUGCGUUGAUAUCGGAAGGAACGCCGGUGGCGAAAGCGACGUGCUGGCCCUCUUCUGACGCUGAGGCGCGAAAGCUAGGGGAGCAAACGGG